UACGGAGGGGGCUAGCGUUGUUCGGAAUUACUGGGCGUAAAGCGCACGUAGGCGGACUGUUAAGUCGGGGGUGAAAUCCUGGGGCUCAACCUCAGAAUUGCCUCCGAUACUGGCAGUCUCGAGUGCGGGAGAGGUGGAGUGGAAUUCCCAGUGAUAGAGGUGAAAUUCGUAGAUAUUGGGAAGAACACCAGUGGCGAAGGCGGCUCU
rnacentral:rRNA from 1 species